AGACCUCAUGAAAGGCGUUGGUUGAUAUAGACAGUAGGACGAUGGCCAUGGAAGUCGAAACCCGCUACGGAGUGUGUAAAAACUCGCCUGUCGAAACAACUAGCCCAGAAAAUGGAUGGGGUUCAU
rnacentral:ncRNA from 1 species